rnacentral:rRNA from 1 species
UACGAAGGGGGCUAGCGUUGCUCGGAAUUACUGGGCGUAAAGCGCACGUAGGCGGCUCUUUAAGUCGGAGGUGAAAUCCUGGAGCUCAACUCCAGAACUGCCUUCGAUACUGAAGGGCUCGAGUCCGGGAGAGGUGAGUGGAACUGCGAGUGUAGAGGUGAAAUUCGUAGAUAUUCGCAAGAACACCAGUGGCGAAGGCGGCUCACUGGCCCGGUACUGACGCUGAGGUACGAAAGCGUGGGGAGCAAACAGG